GGGGAUGUGGCGCAAUUGGAAGACGCGGCAGGCUUAGACCCUGCUGGUUGUGAGUUCGAAUCUCACCGUCCCUA
rnacentral:tRNA from 1 species